UGGGGAAUAUUGGACAAUGGGGGCAACCCUGAUCCAGCAAUGCCGCGUGUGUGAAGAAGGCCUGCGGGUUGUAAAGCACUUUUGUUGGGGAGGAAACGGCUUAUGUGAAUAGCAUGAGCGACUGACGCUACCCAAAGAAGAAGCACCGGCUAACUCUGUGCCAGCAGCCGCGGUAAUACAGAGGGUGCGAGCGUUAAUCGGAAUUACUGGGCGUAAAGCGCACGUAGGCGGUUAUUUAAGAUGGGUGUGAAACCCCUGGGCUCAACCUAGGAAUUGCAUUCAAGACUGGGUAACUAGAGUACAGUAGAGGGUAGUGGAAUUUCCGGUGUAGCGGUGAAAUGCGUAGAUAUCGGAAGGAACACCAGUGGCGAAGGCGGCUACCUGGACUGAUACUGACGCUGAGGAGCGAAAGCGUGGGGAGCAAACAGGAUUAGAUACCCCAGUAGUCCCUGAGCGGGCUGGCAAGGCGCAU
rnacentral:rRNA from 1 species